CAACAUUUCCCAUGCCCCAAGCCUGCUUCCCCUUCCUUUGGAGCUUGUGCAGGCACUGAGCCAGUUUAAACAACACACACCUGAAGGCACACCCCCAAGAGAUGAAGAGUCCCCAUUGUAGAGGCCACCAGAGUAGAGAGAUGGUUCCAGAGACAUGUGGAACACUAACAACAUGCUAGAGAAAAGACAACCACGCCUAAGGUGUUUGGUCUGAGAAGGAGACAGGAGUGUUUGACUGCAUGAGGUGUGAAUAGGUACCCCUCCAUAAUCUGCUCCCCUGAGGAAAGGGGGCUUGUCCCUCGGGGAAGCACCCCCGACUCCCCCAUCCCCAUUUGGUGGCCUUUCAAGCAAGCAACGGCUUCAGGAGAGCUCCGUGGAGAGCCUGAGAGAAGUCUCGCUCAGAAGCUGGGCUGGGCAGGGAAAGGGUGAGGAAAGCCUCUCUGGGCAAACAGUUCCAGGACUGCCACAACACACUGUGCUCUUUUGUCAUGGCAUGGUCAGUCCCUCACAUGAGAUGUCAAUAGGCCUGGAGCAUGAGGAGACUCCAGUGGGAACAUCACAAGGCGAAUCCAGUUCUGCCCCUACUUUCUUGGCCUGACCAGCUCAGCAUGAGACCUCCAAGGAGACGUGCACUCCCUCUGGCUACACGGGCCUGAGCAUACCUUCUCACUCUUCUGCAGCUGAAGGGGUCACCCCAUUGCCUCCCCAAGAAGCAGGUCUCUCCAGACAAACCAUCUUUCUCCUACCUGGCAAUACCCAAGGAGCAGACCGUAUUUGCUCAGGCAAUGAAUUUUCUGGCAAACUCUAUUUGAUUUACAUGCAAAACUUCACAUCUCAAACAAACAAACAGAAAACCCAGUCAUGUCUGGACGCUGCUGGUUUUUUCCAGCUGAACAAGACCUGGAUUUUGUUGGUUGUAGAUGUAAUUCCAGAGGGAGAACCCUUAACCAACAUUAAGAAGUCUAGCUACAUUCCUGGAGUCCAGCUAACAUGGAGAAACCAUACUGAGAGACCACAUGGAGCAGUGGGGACAUGAGAGUGUACAGGGAGGGAGAGGAGUCCAGCUGCCUCAUAAUCCUACCAGAGCCCAGGUGUCAGCCAUCUCUGCCAACCUGCAGCAUGAGUGAGGAUGCGAGUGUGUCACCUGGCAAGUGAAUCCUCUGGCCCCAGUCAAGGAGCUGCAGUUGAUGGUGCAUGGAGCAGAGAGAAACUGCCCUGCUGAGCCCUGCCAAAAUCAUAAAAUUUAUUUCACACCAGUGAAACAGCAUACACAACACUGCCAAUCUCAAACCUCAGACUUUAUCUUCCAGUGUAAGUUUGAUUCUUAAGAAGUAUACGGAGUCUGUGCAGCGGAGCUGGAACAUGAACAUGAUGGCUGGAGCUAAAGCAGCCAUGUGCAUCACACUGGGAAAGCCUUAAGGAUGGUGUAUGAUGCAGCCAAUUAGAAGGAACCUGAGCUCAUUCCAGCCCUGGAUCACUUCCUCAGUCUCUUAAGUGAGAGUUAAAUAAACAUUUGAUCAGUUUUUAAA